GGCCGGUUAGCUCAGUUGGUUAGAGCGUCGUGCUAAUAACGCGAAGGUCGCGGGUUCAAUACCCGUACUGGCCA